CGUGCAGGCGGUUCGGUAAGUUGGAUGUGAAAUCUCCCGGCUCAACUGGGAGGGGGACGUUCAAUACUGUCGGACUUGAGGACGAUAGAGGGAGGUGGAAUUCCCGGUGUAGUGGUGAAAUGCCGUAGAUAUCGGGAGGAACACCAGUGGCGAAAGCGGCCUCCUGGAUCGUUCCUGACGCUCAGACGCGAAAGCUAGGGGAGCGAACG
rnacentral:rRNA from 1 species